rnacentral:rRNA from 1 species
GAAUAUUGGACAAUGGGGGGAACCCUGAUCCAGCCAUGCCGCGUGUGUGACGAAGGCCUUUUGGUUGUAAAGCACUUUAAGCGAGGAGUAGGCUACUUAGAUUAAUACUCUAGGAGCGUGGGCGCUACGCGCACACUAAGCCCCGGCUAACUCUUUGCCAGCAGCCGCGGUAAUACAGAGGGGGCAAGAGUUCAGCGGAUUUACUGGGCGUAAAGCGCGCGUAGGUGGCCAAUUAAGUCGAAUGUGAAAUCCCGAGGUUAACUUGGGAAUUGCAUUCGAUACUGGUUGGCUAGAGUAUGGGAGAGGAUGGUAGAAUUCCAGGUGUAGCGGUGAAAUGCGUAGAGAUCUGGAGGAAUACCGAUGGCGAAGGCAGCCAUCUGGCCUAAUACUGACACUGAGGUGCGAAAGCAUGGGGAGCAAAC